rnacentral:rRNA from 1 species
GAUGAACGCUGGCGGCGUGCCUAAUACAUGCAAGUCGAGCGAACAGACGAGGAGCUUGCUCCUCUGACGUUAGCGGCGGACGGGUGAGUAACACGUGGAUAACCUACCUAUCAGACUGGGAUAACUUCGGGAAACCGGAGCUACUACCCGAUAACAUGUUGCCCCGCAUGGUUCAACAGUGAAAGACGGUCUUGCUGUCACUUAUAGAUGGAUCCGCGCCGCAUUCGCUAGUUGGUAAGGUAACGGCUUACCAAGGCAACGAUGCGUAGCCGACCUGAGAGGGUGGUCGGCCACACUGGAACUGAGACACGGUCCAGACUCCUACGGGAGGCAGCAGUAGGGAAUCUUCCGCAAGGGGCGAGAGCCUGACAGAGCAACGCCGCGUGAGUGAAGAAGGUCUUCGGAUCGGAAAACUCUGUUAUUAGGGAAGAACAAAUGUGUAAGUAACUGUGCACGUCUUGACGGUACCGGAUCAGAAAGCCACGGCUAACUACGUG